UACGAAGGGGGCUAGCGUUGCUCGGAAUCACUGGGCGUAAAGGGUGCGUAGGCGGGUUUUUAAGUCAGAGGUGAAAUCCUGGAGCUCAACUCCAGAACUGCCUUUGAUACUGAAAGUCUUGAGUAUGGGAGAGGUGAGUGGAACUGCGAGUGUAGAGGUGAAAUUCGUAGAUAUUCGCAAGAACACCAGUGGCGAAGGCGGCUCACUGGCCCAUUACUGACGCUGAGGCGCGAAAGCGUGGGGAGCGAACAGG
rnacentral:rRNA from 1 species